rnacentral:rRNA from 1 species
AGAACGAACGCUGGCGGCAGGCCUCAAACAUGCAAGUCUAGGGGGUGUAGCAAUACAUCACCGGCGGACGGGUGCGUAACGCGUGGGAAUGUACCUAUGGUGGGGGGUAACACAGGGAAACUUGUGCUAAUACCGCAUAAUAUGCUGUCUUUUAAGAGAGAGACAUCAAAGCCGGGGACCGCAAGGCCUGGCGCUUGAAGAGGGGCCCGCGCCUGAUUAGCUAGUUGGUGGGGUAAUGGCUCACCAAGGCAACGAUCAGUAUCCGGCCUGAGAGGGCGGACGGACACACUGGGACUGAGACACGGCCCAGACUCCUACGGGAGGCAGCAGUGGGGAAUUGUUCGCAAUGGGCGCAAGCCUGACGACGCAACGCCGCGUGGAGGAUGAAGAUCUUCGGGUCGUAAACUCCUUUCGAUCGAGACGAAUGGCCCUUGGGAUAAUACCCUGAGGGAGUGACGGUACCGAGAGAAGAAGCCCCGGCUAACUCCGUG